rnacentral:rRNA from 1 species
UACGAAGGGGGCUAGCGUUGUUCGGAUUUACUGGGCGUAAAGCGCAUGUAGGCGGGUCGUUAAGUUGGGGGUGAAAUCCCGAGGCUCAACCUCGGAACUGCCUUCAAAACUGGCGACCUGGACUCAAGUAGAGGCAAGUGGAAUUGCGAGUGUAGAGGUGAAAUUCGUAGAUAUUCGCAGGAACACCAGUGGCGAAGGCGACACGCUGGGCCGUACCUGACACUGAUGCGCGACAGCAUGGGGAGCAAACAGG